CUCGGUGCUGCCCUCACUUCUGUGGUCCCGUCGGGGCAUUGCCUCAACCCAUGUAGGCGGAGACAAAGCCCUGCUCAGCGCCGCCCUCCUGUGCGCUCCUGGGGCUGGAGCGAGGCUUGGAGCCCGGAGAGAAAGACCCGGAACGAGGCCGGCUCCGUCCCGCCCUGCCUGCGCGUCACCCUGCGCGGAGCAGCCGGUUUUUCAAGGCAGAGAAAAGAAAACCCUGCCCUGUGCUACUGCCCUACGAUUCAAGCCGGGCUUUCCAGCCGAGAGACGAGGGCAGAGCGAGGACAGCGGCUCCGGGCCCCGCGCCUGCAGCUCAGGCAGGCGGGAGAUCAAGGCAGAGAGAGAAGGACCAAGGCCUCGGUCGCUCGCUCGGGGGUAACUCGGGCAGUGCCCGCGACUGGGGCAGGCGGGUUCGCGCUGCUCGGGGCGGACACAAGAUGCUUAGGCAUUGAUUCAGGGCUGGGGAGAGCGGCACGGCCCGGAUCGGAGGCUCGUGUUCCCAUUGGGCCCUAUGAGGGGUGAGGCGAUUGGGUGGAAUGGCCGGUUCCCCCCCGCUCCCCGCCCUUGUUCGCUCUGAUUGGCUUGUGCCAGGGGAGGCGAGACCAGGAGGCCAGCCUCUUGGUUCACAUUCUGAUUGGCUGCCGGGAAUUGUGGGUGUGUGCAGUCUUCUGUGCACCCAUUGGUCCGGGCCCGAUCCGCACCGGUCGCCCUUAGCUGGUUGUCCGCCCGCUCAGCGCGUUGCCGUUGUCCCGCUGCUGGCUGGAGGAGCGGGCGGUUCUGGAGAGCUGUGGCAGCUGCUGUGGUGACCACGGCGGGUCGUGCGGGAGACUGGGCUUUUGCAAGCUUGGGUACAGUUCACAAAAUUGGCACAGCUGGUGUUACCAGGGGAGGUGACUGUCAACAAAUCUAUUUCAAAGAUUCACCUUCAAAGACCUGUGUCCAAAGUAGAGGUGACGGGGAAGAACACAACGGUGCUUUCAGAGAGCAGCUGUCCCAGCAACACCUCACCCAGCAGCAUGCGGGAGAGUCAUAUGUGCAAUGACUUGGAUCCUGUGGCAGAGACAGCGAUGAGGCAGUUGACGGAAAUAAACAACACAUCUGUCAAGAAAAGCCCGACUAAACGCGGCACAUUGAUUAUAUCAGGAGUUUCCAAGGUACCAAUUGCUCAGGAUGAAAUGGCACUUUCUCUUGGCUAUGCUGCAUCUAUGGAGGCAACAGUGCAUGGGGACUCUGUGGUGUCCGGCACUGACGAGCAGAUGCAGAACUCAGCUGAGGCAUCCCAGUUGCUGGAAGCAUCCUUCUCAGGACAGAGGUCCAAUCAGGAGCUGGAUGAAACAACACAAUCGGACAUCUCUGGAAGAUGUUGACUCUGAAACUAGCUCUACUGGAGCCCUUGAGACCAGGAGCUUAAAGGACCACAAAGGUGAGGACCAGUGUUGCUUGGAACAUGAGCCAGUCAGCCUUACAGACCUGAGGAUAGUGUGAUGGUCACGUCUUGUGGCUGAGUAAGUGUCCGCUUGUGCAGUGGGCGAUGGUAACUUCAUUCCUUAUCUGUUUUGCUAAUCUACAAGGUGAUGUGCUUUAGGCAAGAUGGUUGUGAUUAUUUCUGGAAGAUAUGUCAAAGCAGUCACUUUUUAGCGCACAAAUUACAGGAAUGGGACUUGGACUGGCAUGUUCUCCAAGUAGGUGCGCAAAUAAAAGGAGCAAGCAAGGUGCAAUGUCAAAUACAAGGCAAAUAUGAAGUCAGUUUUAAGACUUACUUUACCAAGUGUCCAGUAUCAUAACUGCUAAAAGCAAUGGGUCAGUUGGGGGAGACCUUGCUACAGAGCUUUUGGGAACUGGUGAAACUACUAAUUGUGUGAUGCAAGAUAGUAAUGUAGUUUGCCUAAUGAAACAAAACAUGUCUGUGUAGGUGAAAUACUUACUGAUGGAGAGAGGCAAUAGUCUAUAAAUGGCAUGUUGGGUUUUUUUGUUUUUGAGCUCUAGAGUCACAAUGAAGUCAGCCUCGUGCUGCCUGGAAAUGCAAGUGCAGAUUUUUAAAAAAAUAUAUAUUUAUUGAUU